UAAAUGAAAGCCAAAUCAGAGGCGCCUAGCUGUUAAUUAGGAGAUUGUAAGAUGAUAUUUACUCAUUUAG
rnacentral:tRNA from 1 species